CAGUUACACCCCACUCGUGAUUUUUUUAAGCUGUUAUGUUUCUUAAAAAGACGGUUGCUAACAAGUUGCUAAAUGGGACUACAGGCGCUGUCGGAGACAUUAAACGUCAUCACGCCGAACAGUUUAUCAAUAUACAGUAUUUUCCAGUUGUAGUAUAAUUUGUAAUUCAAUUAAUUUUAGGAUAACCAAUGAAUAGUUUACAGCAUUUUAUAUUGUUGUUCGAUGUUGUUGUUUUUUUUUUUUUGCUUUGCCCCGAAAUGCGACACGUUUUCAGAGGGAAGAUGCUUGUUUUAUCGCUUUACUGACACGGAGACUCUCCGCACCAUAAGGUAAACGCAUAUUACGAUUAUUACAUGUAAACACCACAUUUGCCGGCUUAACGUGGUGAAAGUUAAACUUUAAUGAUGCAUAUUGCUUAAAGGCAUGUAAAAAUUAAAUGUUUGCGGCCACAUGAAGCGGUUAGAAAACAUAGAUUGAGGAUUUCCUUGAAGCACGGAUAAAAUAACAUUUUGUGUGCCAAUCCUAACAAAAUGAGAGCUGAAAUGUGGUACUUUGUUCACUAAAUAAGUUUAAACUUACCAUAUCCAAAAACUCGCUCACUCUGCUGUUAUUUAAAUACGCGGGGAUACGUUUUUUAUUAAAAUAUUCAUAUUAAUCAAGGAUUUAUUGACUUUUAAUGCACCUUAUUUCGAAAUGUACAGAAAUACGUGCUUUAAAUGUCCUUUAGUUAUGAUUUAUUCACUAUACUAUUUAUUACUAAUGUCUCAUUUCAGUUUUAGUUUGUCUCUAGUUUUGUAUUUAUUCAUGAAACGGUUCCUGUAGCGUGGAUUAAAAUUCAUAUACAGAGUAAAUCCUUCACUGAACAUGUUAAAAAUAAGUUUGAAACAGUUCUCGGGAGCGCUGUGGUGAUGACGCUGAAGGCGAGCGACCGUGGUGGUGUAGUUCGUUUAUAGCCUAAGUUUAGCUUUUCAGUUCUGGCGCUUUUAUUUCGGCUUCAAAAUUCGUCAAAGAUAUAUUAUCUUGUCAAGAUAUCUUGAUGGACAAAACGUGUAAGUUUCAUGAACUAUGGUUGAACACAGAGCUUAUUUUUUGCGAUAAUCCAAAAGCCUAUGGGAAAAUCCUAUUGGCUUUUUGCCGAAGGAACCAGUUUCAUGCUAACCGCCGAUCCGCCUACAAAGUGACCUCAUAGUUCCCCCACUCUAUAGUGGUUGCUUGUGGCAACACAGCACAACUUCCUGUGUUUGCAUUCUGAGCAGCGAAGAAGAAUUGAUUUCCGUUUUGCAGCGUUAUGCAAAGCUAUGCAAAGCAAAACUAGAGGUCUCGUUUAAGAAAAUGGUAACGGAUCGGUACAUGGGUUCAAGUACUCAUCGAUACCGAUGCCAGAAUUUGUUGUGGUAUCGGUGGAAUUUCCGAUACUAGUAUCGGAAUCGGAAACAACCCUAGAUAUAUUAAAAUAGCAAACACUUAUUUAAUUGUGCAAACUGUGCCAUAGUAUGGUAAAUUGCAUAACUACAUUAUGUUGCUGAAAUCAUCUUUCUCCAUUGACAGCUGUCCAAACUUCUCAUGGUUUCUAAUUGAGAUCUAAUUGUCUUCAUAGCAACAUAUGAAGUAUAAAUAAAUAAGAAAUUCAAAUAAUUCCCAAAAUUUUUAAAAAGAUCAAAUUUAAUCAUAACAAUUUUGAAAUAAUAUUUUCCAUAUAAUUUAUAAAUGGCAACAAAAUGUUGUCUUUACAAUAUUACACUCAUUGAGUCUUAAAUAUAGCUGCCUUUAUAUGAUUGAUCCAAAUAAAUGCUGAAGUCUUCAUCUGUCACGCUUUAAUAAUUGAUUUUUUAACAGUAACAAUACCAAAAAAAAGGUGCUUCAAAGCUGCUCUUUCAAGAUGGAAAACUUGGAAGCAACAAGUCAUUGCCUCCUAUUAUAUACUGUAAAGUGUCUAAAUAAAAAAAAAGAAAUGAAUUCAUUUUAAAGUAUGUUCAAACAGGCCACUUUAAUACACAUAAUCUCCGUUCCUCUAUAGCACAUUUGUGCAAAGAGCUCUUGUAAUUUCCUGAAAUAACAAAGUAAAGCAUUAAAUGUAAUUGUAUGUGAUUUUUUUCAUGCUGGGAACAUUUUCUCAGUCUAAGUCAUUACCUCAAUGACCCCCUCAUUGAUACAUGGCAGUUUGCUGGUCGGCAUGUGAUUUAUGAGCCCGUUUUGUCUGAUUGCCUCAUAAAGGAGUCUUUUUCCCUCUGCCCAUCUCAGCAGUGACCAACAAUAAAAGAGAGCGGUUGGCAGCUAUUAAAUAAAUAUUUAUCCACAGGCUCCUCUGCGGCUUUUCCCCCUCCAGCCGUACGUCUCAGUCUGGGAUGGAAAGGAGCAAGAAAAGUGAAGUAGGUGCUUUUUAAUCAAGAGAGAAAGCAAUGAGUGCAGCAGGAUGUAACAAAUACCCCCGUGCUGUGCUGGGCUGAGGAGGAGGCAAGAGCCAUACGGUAAUGAAGUGAGACAGGGACAUGUAUGGACAGGACAAAUCACUUGGCUGCUCAGCCACGGUUCCCCUCUCGCUUUAUCAAGGGCCAAGCAUUCCACGUAAUCCCCGCCAAUCAAUUACCCUUCACAGAGAAAGUCAAUCAACCAACCCCUGUCGGCUAUUCUUAGCUAGACCUGUACUGAAGGCAACUGCAAUGAAGCAUCAAGAAAGACAUGAGCAGGCCAGCCACCCUGAGACUGAUAAUUCAUGGUAAGAGAACAACUAUGGUUUUGAGAGGUUUGUGUCACGAAUCUGGUCUGUGGCCUUCCGCCAGAUAGCCACCAGAGGUCGCCAUUCCAUCGAAUUGACUCUUGCACUACACUACUGUUGCACAUCACCCACGGACUACAAUACCCAUCAUCCAUUGCACUGACGACACACACACACACACACACACAGCUGAUUGCACUGAUUACACAGCUUACGUAAACCAUGAACUUCCCUGCACAGAUUGCCGAGUAUUGUCUAGCGUUUAGCACUCUCCUAGUGUUAGCUACUUACCAAGCCUUUCCAUGUUUGUUUUGUGUUUAGUCUCCUGUAUGGUUCUGUGUUUAUCACUCACCUAGUGAUAGCUGCCUUACAGAGCCUAGUUUCCUAUCUUAGUUCCAGUCUUAGUCUAGUUUUUCGUAUUGCCUUGUUGUCUGUCUCUUGAUCUUCUGCCUUAAGCCCAAUUUAUACUUCUGCGUCGAACCUACGCCAUAGCCUACGCAGAGACGCACAGGCCUGCGCCGUACCUGACGUGCACCUCUCCAAAAACAGUGCGUCAAUUCUACGCGGACUGCAAGCGCUGUGAUUGGUCUGCUAGAACCCCUCCCCCCGUAUGCACUUGAGUUUUGUGUGCGUUUAUAAGCACUGUUAUAUAGUUUAAUGUUACACCUUCUUUAGAAUAAAACAAAGCAAAGAACAAGUGUCUUAUCAUUUAUUACACUACACAGCAUUAUACAUCACUAGUUGUCCACGACAAACAAUGUUGAUCUGCCGUGGUACACGUCCUUAUAGAGAUUGUAAGGAUGCCAUCUUCUCCUGUUCCAUUGUUGUCUCCUUUUUGUAGUUUUAAAUAAUGAUUUGAUAUUUAUUUGCCACCGUCACGGCUAUGCUUCUCCGACGAGCCGCUUCUUCUUCGGCUUUUGCUGUGGUACUGCGGGUUCACAAGCAACAUGCCCGUGGACACUGCAGACUAGCGGUGUGUGUAUUGCAGCGGACUACAAUGUGUACUGCACGUCGACGCGGACAACGACGCAGAAGUAUAAAUGAAAACCGACGUACAGCUUACGGCGUAGGUCCGACGCAGAAGUAUAAAUUGGGUUUUAGUAUCUUGGAUUAACCCUUUGCCUGCUGUUUCGGACUCUGUUUGCACCUCGCCUGGAUUAUUGCUCACGUUAUCGGAUUACCCCUCUUGUCAAGCCCUCUGGAUAUUGUUCGCCGAUCGUCGACCCACGCUUGUCCUAGGAUUGCUCCGUGUCUUGCCUAUGCCAUACCUGUUUGCCAUUGUUCGACCCUGUCUGUGCUUAUGACCAUGUCUCUGUCUAAAUAAAGCUUUGUACGUGGAUCCGCACGUCUCGUUUGCCCCGUUACAGUUUGUGUAUUCUAUAUGGGCUUUGCCUUUUAAAAGUGUCAUUUCUAGGCAUUUCUGUCACUAACAAAGUGGAUGGCGAGAAAAGGUUGUGGCCACGUUUUGGAGCAGCACCUGGGUUUUGCAGAUGGCUAUGUAUUCUUUGGCUGUUUGUUUUUUUUCCCCAUUAUGUUUCUGUUGCCUAAAGAUUCUUUGUGAGGAUGAAUCCAGAGGACACAACAUAAUGCACUGCAAAACGUCCUAAGACAGGAGAAAUGGUGAAGUUGCACUGUUCCAGCAUUGGAAGACUCCAUACUGUGGCGAGUGGGGCGGGGCCGGUGGAGUUCAUGAUAAUGAGCGACACCUGCGCCACUCGCCGGUCUCGAGUCCCACGGAGGAGCUCCGGAAGGAUAAAAGGAGGAGUGACUACAGUGGAAGACGAGAGAGGACCAGGCCUGGACUUUUAUUUGUGUUUUUGUGUGCGGCAGUCGUCCGUGAGGGGCUGCUGCUUUACUUUUAUGUUUGUUUAUUUUAUUAUUAAAGUGUAUGAAUGUUCGCCGGUUCCCGCCUCCUCCUUCCCGAUCUACGAACUGUGUUACACAUACCAAUUCAUUUGAGUGUGUAUAAUUGUGU